GCGUGACAAACACAUGGUUGGUGAUCCGACGUGGGAGGCCACGCGGGUGAUCCGCAUGGCUAGCGAUCCGACAGUUCAGAUCACAUCCCCUGCGUAUAGACGACCAAAAUGCAUUUCCUUUUUAGGUGCGAUCGGACGGAUGGGGUUGAUUGCGAUGGAUGGCCCAUAUUCGUUCACGCAAUCAGCCUAAAUGAAAAAUCAUGGAAUGGUACUCCUCGCUCUACGUUGACUCAAAUGAGUGGCCUGGAUCAAUUGGAGAGGAGUAUUUAAAUUCUUAUUCAUAGGGAAUUAAAACCCUAGCCGACAGAGGGGAGAAGAAGAAGAAUGACAGAUGGAAAAAGAACCAGAUGCUGGAUAAGGAGGCCGACCAGUAUCGCUGCCGCACCAAAGCCACCGUUGAUGCCAGAACAAGUAUUUUUUUUUCUUUCCCACUCAGAAUUCAAUCCUGAGUCUCCCUAUACCCAAAUUAAAGCCAAAGGGUCGAUGGGUGAGUCAAAAACUGCGAGUAAAGCUCAACGAAGCCGCCACGGUCAAAACUCAAAACUCAAAACCCUCUCCGAUGACCCCCUUCCUUUUUCCUAUUUCAAGUGAUUUUUUUACCACAUUGUU
rnacentral:lncRNA from 1 species